AUGGUUUGUCCCUCCGCCUUAAAAGAGACCGCGUGGAGGCGGCUCGCUCUUUUCCGCGCUUCGCCGCUGACGUUAUCGAAGGUGUUGUCGGAGGGAGGUUUUCUGCCGUUGCCAUGUGGGAUCUGACUUCAAAAAGCCAUAGAAAGGAUCAAUGUAUAGAGUUGCGGGAGAAACAUCCAAAGGGAGCCAGAAGCUGUCCUCCAAGAUGAGCAAUUGUGAUUGAAAUGCCGACUCUUAACUGGAAAAGAUGUUUCUCAUCUACCCAAUCUUCAAAGAUGGAAGUCCCUGCAGAUUUCCUUGAAGAGGCUUGUUAGAUACACACUAUUUGCACUGCCAUGAACAUGGUUUAAAUCAGAUCAGAUUUGCAUUAAAGUUAAGAACUGAAAGAAGAUUUUAGAAGAAUACACUUCUAAGAUGCAUGGAGGUAGUAGGCUUGGACAAAUAUUACUACAAUUCAAUGCACUUAAGACUAUUAUUCCCAAAUUUGGCUAACAGCAAGAUGUAUAUCGAUCGAAGAAGAGAACUAUACUAAAUUAAUGUAGCAAAUAAAGACAGAUUUGGACAAAUGGAAAAAUCUACAAUUCGUUGAUCAGAACAACAGCCACAAUUAAAAUGAAUAUUCUAUUGAAA